rnacentral:rRNA from 1 species
GAAUAUUGGACAAUGGGGGCAACCCUGAUCCAGCCAUGCCGCGUGUGUGAUGAAGGCCUUAGGGUUGUAAAGCACUUUCGCCGGGGACGAUGAUGACGGUACCCGGAGAAGAAGCCCCGGCUAACUCCGUGCCAGCAGCCGCGGUAAUACGGAGGGGGCAAGCGUUGUUCGGAAUUACUGGGCGUAAAGGGCGCGUAGGCGGCCAGUUGCGUCGGGUGUGAAAGCCCCGGGCUCAACCUGGGAGGUGCACUUGAUACGGGCUGGCUGGAAUCCGGGAGAGGAUGGUGGAAUUCCCAGUGUAGAGGUGAAAUUCGUAGAUAUUGGGAAGAACACCGAUGGCGAAGGCAGCCAUCUGGACCGGGAUUGACGCUGAGGCGCGAAAGCGUGGGGAGCAAACAGG